rnacentral:rRNA from 1 species
GCUAAGCCCUAAACAUUGAUAGCUAUUAUACAAACCUUUCCGCCAGAGAACUACAAGUGAAAAACUUGAAACUCAAAGGACUUGACGGUGUCCCAUAUCGGCCUAGAGGAGCCUGUCCUGUAAUCGAUACCCCCCGUUCCACCCAACCUUAACUAGUAAAAUAUCAGCCUAUAUACCGCCGUCGACAGUCUACCCUAUGAAGGCCCAACAGUAGACAUAAGAGCCUCCCCCGCUAAUACGUCAGGUCAAGGUGUAGCAAAUGUUAAGGAAGAGAUUGGCUACAUUUUUUAAAAUAAAAAACACGAAAAGCACUAUGAAACCCUGCAUGAAGGUGAAUUUAGUAGUAAAAUAGAUUAGAGUAUCUAUUUUAACAACGCUCUGGGACGCGU